rnacentral:rRNA from 1 species
UGCAAGUCGAACGCUCACACGGGUUUCGGCCCGUGCGGGAGUGGCGCACGGGUGAGUAGCGCGUGGGAACCUGCCUUUCAGUGGGGGAUAACCGAGGGAAACUUCGGCUAAUACCGCAUGCGCCCCCGGGCCUGGUCUUCGGAUCAGGUUUGGGGGGAAAGAUUUAUCGCUGAGAGAGGGGCCCGCGUCCGAUUAGCUGGUUGGUGGGGUAACGGCCUACCAAGGCUGCGAUCGGUAGCUGGUCUGAGAGGAUGAUCAGCCACACUGGGACUGAGACACGGCCCAGACUCCUACGGGAGGCAGCAGUGGGGAAUAUUGGACAAUGGGCGCAAGCCUGAUCCAGCAAUGCCGCGUGAGUGAUGAAGGCCUUAGGGUUGUAAAGCUCUUUCGCCCGCGACGAUGAUGACGGUAGCGGGAGAAGAAGCCCCGGCUAACUUCGUGCCAGCAGCCGCGGUAAUACGAAGGGGGCGAGCGUUGUUCGGAAUCACUGGGCG